rnacentral:rRNA from 1 species
CACGUAGUUAGCCGUGGCUUAUUCAAGGGGUACCGUCUUCUGCUCUUCCCCUUUAAAAGAAGUUUACAACCCGAAAGCCUUCUUCCUUCACGCGGCGUUGCUGGGUCAGGCUUGCGCCCAUUGCCCAAUAUUCCCCACUGCUGCCUCCCGUAGGAGUCUGGGCCGUAUCUCAGUCCCAAUGUGGCCGGUCAACCUCUCAGUCCGGCUACUGAUCGUCGCCUAGGUGGGCCGUUACCCCGCCUACUAGCUAAUCAGACGCGAGGCCAUCUUCCAGCGAUAAAUCUUUGACAUGUCCGUGAUGCCACGGUCAUGUGUCAUGCGGUAUUAGCAGUCGUUUCCAACCGUUGUCCCCCUCUCGGAAGGCAGGUUCCUCGACGCGUUACUCACCACGUCCGCCACUAACGCAUUCCCUUCCACUUGUACCGAAAACUCUUUACGAGGGGUGCGUCCGUUCGACUUUCGCUACUGUGUUAAGUCACCGCCG